rnacentral:rRNA from 1 species
GUGAACGCUGGCGGCGUGCUUAACACAUGCAAGUCGAACGGAUCCUUCGGGAUUAGUGGCGGACGGGUGAGUAACACGUGGGAACGUGCCUUUUGGUUCGGAAUAGCUCCUGGAAACGGGUGGUAAUGCCGAAUGUGCCCUUCGGGGGAAAGAUUUAUCGCCAUUAGAGCGGCCCACGUCUGAUUAGCUAGUUGGUGAGGUAAAGGCUCACCAAGGCUACGAUCAGUAGCUGGUCUAAGAGGAUGACCAGCCACAUUGGGACUGAGACACGGCCCAAACUCCUACGGGAGGCAGCAGUGGGGAAUCUUGCGCAAUGGGCGAAAGCCUGACGCAGCCAUGCCGCGUGAAUGAUGAAGGUCUUAGGAUUGUAAAAUUCUUUCACCGGGGACGAUAAUGACGGUACCCGGAGAAGAAGCCCCGGCUAACUUCGU